CUACUGGGGUAUCUAAUCCUGUUCGCUACCUACGCUUUCGUCCAUCAGCGUCAGUACGUUAUUAGUGACCUGCCUUCGCAAUCGGUAUUCUGAGUAAUAUCUAUGCAUUUCACCGCUACACUACUCAUUCUAAUCACUUCAUAACCACUCAAGACAAUCAGUAUCAAUGGCAAUUCUCCCGUUGAGCGGAAGACUUUCACCACUGACUUAACUGCCCGCCUACGGACCCUUUAAACCCAAUGAUUCCGGAUAACGCUUGGAUCCUCCGUAUUACCGCGGCUGCUGGCAC
rnacentral:rRNA from 1 species